UGGGGAAUCUUGGACAAUGGGCGCAAGCCUGACGCAGCCAUGCCGCGUGUAUGAUGAAGGUCUUAGGAUUGUAAAAUACUUUCACCGGUGAAGAUAAUGACUGUAGCCGGAGAAGAAGCCCCGGCUAACUUCGUGCCAGCAGCCGCGGUAAUACGAAGGGGGCUAGCGUUGCUCGGAAUUACUGGGCGUAAAGGGAGCGUAGGCGGACAUUUAAGUCAGAGGUGAAAUCCCGGAGCUUAACUUCGGAACUGCCUUUGAUACUGGGUGUCUUGAGUGUGAGAGAGGUAUGUGGAACUCCGAGUGUAGAGGUGAAAUUCGUAGAUAUUCGGAAGAACACCAGUGGCGAAGGCGACAUACUGGCUCAUUACUGACGCUGAGGCUCGAAAGCGUGGGGAGCAAACAGGAUUAGAUACCCAAGUAGUCCCUGAGCGGGCUGGCAAGGCGCAU
rnacentral:rRNA from 1 species